GAUGAACGCUGGCGGCGUGCUUAACACAUGCAAGUCGAAUGAAGAUGCCAUAGUAGAAGCAAUUAGCUUGCUAAGAGUGGACACAGUGGGAUCUUAGUGGCGGACGGGUGAGUAACGCGUGGGUAACCUGCCGUAUACAGGGGGAUAACACCUGGAAACAGGUGCUAAUACCGCAUAAGCGCACGAUGUCGCAUGACAACGUGUGAAAAGCCGAGACGGUAUACGAUGGACCCCGCGUCCGAUUAGCUAGUUGGUGAGGUAGAGGCGUCACCAAGGCGGACGAUCAGUAGCCGGGCCUGAGAGGGUGAACGGCCACAUUGGGACUGAGACACGGCCCAAACUCCUACGGGAGGCAGCAGUGGGGGAAUAUUGCACAAUGGGGAAACCCUGAUGCAGCGACGCCGCGUGAGUGAAGAAGUAUUUCGGGAUGUAAAGCUCU
rnacentral:rRNA from 1 species